UCCAUAGUGUAGCAGUUAGCACGUCUGCUUUACGCGCAGGAGGUCCUGGGUUUGUGCCCCAGUGGA
rnacentral:tRNA from 1 species